rnacentral:rRNA from 1 species
GACAGAGGUCCCGAGCGUUAGGCGGAAUCACUGGGCUUAAAGCGUGUGUAGGCGGAGUGCUAAGUACCUUGUGAAAUCCCACGGCUCAACCGUGGAACUGCUUGGUAUACUGGUUCUCUUGAGCCACCUAGGGGCAACCGGAACAAACGGUGGAGCGGUGAAAUGCGUAGAUAUCGAGAGGAACACCUGUGGCGAAGGCGGGUAGCUGGGCCGACACUGACGCUGAGGCGCGAAAGCCAGGGGAGCGAACGGG